rnacentral:rRNA from 1 species
UGAUCAUAAUAACUUUCGGUCACAUAAUUUUUUUGGACAAUCAUCAAUUUUUACCUUCAGUUUGACGGUAGGGUUUGGCCUACCGGGCUUGACGGGAACGGGGAAUUAGGGUUCGAUUCCGGAGAGGGAGCCUGAGAAACGGCUACCCCAUUUAAGGAAGGCAGCAGGGGGCCAAAUUACCCAAUCCUAAUACAGGGAGGUAGUGACAAGAAAUAACAAUACAGGACUUUACGGUUUUGUAAUUGGAAUGAGUUAAGUAUAAACCCCUUUACAAGUUUCAAUUGGAGGGCAAGUUUGGGGCCAGCAGCCGCGGUAAUUCCAGCUCCAAAAGGGUAUAUUAAAGUUGUUGCAGUUAAAAAGCUUGUAGUUGGAUUUUUGUUAAUACCUUAUAUUUAAUUUUUUUUUUUAAAUAUUAAUAUGUAAGAUUAACAUAAUUCAUAUUUUUAAGACUGAAUUUUUAGUUUUGAUAAUAUGAAAUUUUACUUUGAGAAAAUUAGAGUGCUUAAAGCAGGCUUUUGCCUUGAAUACUCCAGCAUGGAAUAAUAAUAAAAGAUUUUUAUCUUUUUUUUAUUGGUUCUAAGAUAAAAAUAAUGAUUAAUAGGGACAGUUUGGGGCAUUUGUAUUUAACAGUCAGAGGUGAUAUUCUUAGAUUUGUUAAAGACAAACUAAUGCGAAAGCAUUUGCCAAGGAUGUUUUCAUUAAUCAAGAACGAAAGUUAGGGGAUCGAAGACGAUCAGAUACCGUCGUAGUCUUAACC